rnacentral:rRNA from 1 species
GGAUAAUCUACCCUUAGGACCGGGAUAACCCUGGGAAACUGGGGCUAAUACUGGAUAGGCAAUUUUUCCUGCAAUGGUUUUUUGUUUAAAUGUUUUUUCGCCUAAGGAUGAGUCUGCGGCCGAUUAGGUAGUUGGUUAGGUAAUGGCUUACCAAGCCGUUGAUCGGUACGGGUUGUGAGAGCAAGAGCCCGGAGAUGGAACCUGAGACAAGGUUCCAGGCCCUACGGGGUGCAGCAGGCGCGAAACCUCCGCAAUGUGAGAAAUCGCGACGGGGGGAUCCCAAGUGCCAUUCUUAACGGGAUGGCUUUUCAUUAGUGUAAAGAGCUUUUGGAAUAAGAGCUGGGCAAGACCGGUGCCAGCCGCCGCGGUAACACCGGCAGCUCUAGUGGUAACAAUUUUUAUUGGGCCUAAAGCGUCCGUAGCCGGUUUAAUAAGUCUCUGGUGAAAUCCUGUAGCUUAACUGUGGGAAUUGCUGGAGAUACUAUUAGACUUGAGACCGGGAGAGGUUAGAGGUACUCCCAGGGUAGAGGUGAAAUUCUGUAAUCCUGGGAGGACCGCCUGUUGCGAAGGCGUCUAACUGGAACGGUUCUGACGGUGAGGGACGAAAGUUAGGGGCGCGAACCGGAUUAGAUACCCGGGUAGUCCUAACUGUAAACGAUGCGGACUUGGUGUUGGGGUGGCUUUGAGCUGCUCCAGUGCCGAAGGGAAGCUGUUAAGUCCGCCGCCUGGGAAGUACGGUCGCAAGACUGAAACUUAA